AUUGAACGCUGGCGGCAGGCCUAACACAUGCAAGUCGAGCGAGCGGCGGACGGGUGAGUAAUGUCUGGGAAACUGCCUGAUGGAGGGGGAUAACUACUGGAAACGGUAGCUAAUACCGCAUACCAUCAGAUGUGCCCAGAUGGGAUUAGCUAGUAGGGGGGGUAAGGGCUCACCUAGGAGACGAACCCUAGCUGGUCGGAGAGGAUGACCAGCCACACUGGAACUGAGAGACGAUCCAGACUGCUACGGGAGGCAGCAGUGGGGAAUAUUGCACAAUUGGCGCAAGCCUGAUGCAGCCAUGCCGGGUGGGUGACGAAGGCCUCCGGACUUUAAAGCACUGUGAGCGGAUAGGCAUUACCCGCAGAAGAGACACCGGCUAACUCCGUGCGGGCAGCCGCGGUAAUAC
rnacentral:rRNA from 1 species